CACAAACAUGAGGUUGCUAUAGGUAAUAGUUGCUAGUGGCAACCAACACACCAAGAGCAUCCCCAAAAGAAAUAUACAGGUGGGGGUAGACUUGCUGGUCCAAGCAUCAUACCGGCAGACGGGAGGGACGACAACUGCAACUAUCCAACAUUUUAUGAGGGAGACCCGUUGGAGCAGUUUGUUUUAACAAAAGGAAACCGUACAAGAGGCUGUGUGGAAGGAAUGGGAAAAUGCAAGUUCUCCAUCAACAGGUAAGGGGAACGAAGGCUGCCAGGGAUGCCCAUACACCCUCUCUCGUUGCUGCUGCACACAGAGAGCCGGGCACGGGCAUUGUUAGGCACUCCAUUCACACACACACACCAGCUGCAAGCAGCAAACUCAUGGAAUAACAGGGAGACAGCUUGCAAAACAAGAGGGUUUUGCUUCCCAGUUAUCUCCAGACAAUGCUUUAUAGGGUGGGAGAGUGUAGGAGGGGGGAUACCACAACACACUUCUCUUCAAUUCUAGAGGAAAAAUUGCUUCUUUUUCUCUCUGGUUCUAAAGAUAAAAAGGGUUAGGUACCCUCUGAUACUGUGCAUUGUGCUUUUUAAAUUAAAUACUAGUAUUCUGCAGCAGGGAUUACCCCCAGGAAAAACAACCCUCUCUGCAAAAAAAAAAAAAAGGCUUGUUUGCAGCCUUUCCACCUAAAGAGAAACAGUUACACAUAUAUCUGCCAAAUUAGGCAUUUUAUUUGGGAAUUGUCACCUAAUUCCAGUCGCCAGGUGGUCAAAAUAUGUAGGCAUUAUUCAUCUGUGACGUGUCCCUCCUUAGUGUCUUGCACUCAUCAGGAGAGCAAUACAUUUUUUUUUUUAGAAAAAAAAAUCUAGGAUUUUCUCUUGCCUCCUGGGGGCAUAUACAAGGAGGUUAGUGCUGACACUUUCUUCCACAAUUUUUUUUUAAUUUGUAUUAUUUUCUUUAUUGGUAUGCUCAAGCAAUCAAUUUACUAAAUGUUGCAGCCUUUCAAUAAGGGGUUUAUUCGUCAUUCUAUGAAUUGUGGUGAAUUGACAAAUUAUUGCAAAAAAAAAAAAAAUCAGACAAAAACACCCGAGCUGGUAAAAAUAUAAUAUCCAUUUUUGUUCUGAUUUUGUAAGCCUGGAAGUGUACAUGGUUCCUGCUCAAAGCCGAUGAAGUUUCAACGAGCAACCGGUGGUUGCUAUAGAGGGAGGCAGGGAGUCAGCAGAUUAGAAUUUAUAAUUGCCAAUUCCUAUGCAAAUUAUAGAGAAACAAGAUUCAACAGUGAUUGGCAAAGAAAUGUUGCAGAAAUAAAAUACAAAAUGUGUGAAAAAAAAAUGUAACAAAUAGAAACCUACAAUGGUGCGUUGUUUUAUCGACAGAUAAAUCUAUACGUGCUGAGAAAGGCAAAAGCCAACAUUAUACCAAUAUGUGCAGUGUGAUCAGGAGAGCAAUAAAUUUUUUUUUUUAGAAAAAAAAAUCUAGGAUUUUCUCUUGCCUCCUGGGGGCAUAUACAAGGAGGUUAGUGCUGACACUUUCUUCCACAAUUUUUUUUUAAUUUGUAUUAUUUUCUUUAUUGGUAUGCUCAAGCAAUCAAUUUACUAAAUGUUGCAGCCUUUCAAUAAGGGGUUUAUUCGUCAUUCUAUGAAUUGUGGUGAAUUGACAAAUUAUUGCAAAAAAAAAAAAAAUCAGACAAAAACACCCGAGCUGGUAAAAAUAUAAUAUCCAUUUUUGUUCUGAUUUUGUAAGCCUGGAAGUGUACAUGGUUCCUGCUCAAAGCCGAUGAAGUUUCAACGAGCAACCGGUGGUUGCUAUAGAGGGAGGCAGGGAGUCAGCAGAUUAGAAUUUAUAAUUGCCAAUUCCUAUGCAAAUUAUAGAGAAACAAGAUUCAACAGUGAUUGGCAAAGAAAUGUUGCAGAAAUAAAAUACAAAAUGUGUGAAAAAAAAAUGUAACAAAUAGAAACCUACAAUGGUGCGUUGUUUUAUCGACAGAUAAAUCUAUACGUGCUGAGAAAGGCAAAAGCCAACAUUAUACCAAUAUGUGCAGUGUGAUUAAGGGCAGGCUGAAUUUAUCAGAUUUUUUUUGUAAUACAGCAGUGGAUAAACUAAAACACAAGAAUUUAAAGUGAUUUUGCUCUAAUGUACAAAUACAAUUAUUAACGUACAGAUGAAUCAGUGUGGGGUGGAAGGAAUUAAAAAAAAAUAUAUAAAAAAUUAAACAGAAGUACAAUAUAAAUAACACACUGAAUGUACUGUGCUCCAUUGCAGACACCCAACAAAAAUGUUCCCUUUUUUUCCAUAUGGCUUUAAAUAUCUCCAGAAAAUUGUUCAUCUUGACUCCAGUGUGAAAUAUUACUUGUUUCUUAGAUUCUGUAUCAGAGAUUCAUACUAUGACAUACUGAAUAUAAUUUUAAACCCUACCCCACCCAUUCUUUUCACUCCUCCUGUCCUAUUUAUACCGUAUGUGUACCCCAUUCCCUUUCAGUGUCAUUUCACUUGCGCAAUUACCUGGUAAAAGCAGACAUUAGUAUGCAUUAGAGAAACGGCAUGAUACCCAAGUUGAUUAGGAGCUAUAGUCUGAUGAAUUUGGGCUUGAGGGACAGCAAUUCAAGACAAGUUUUCUACACCUUUAUUGCCAGUGUUAAUAUAAAAUCUUUGCAUAGUGUGACAAUUGUCUGCAGACUGUACACCUCUGACAAUUUGCCCAUGCAUGUGGAGACACUGAAAUGUGCCCAUCCAGCCAAAGACCCUGACAACCUGCCCAUUCAUCCAGCAACAAUAAAUUUGGCCAAUUCAUUCAAAAAUUUUAAUAUUAAGCCACCCUAUACCCUCAGGCACCAAUUUGGAACAUAACUCCCAGCACAAUGCUUAUGCCACCGUCCAAUAGAUUGCACUAGUCCGCCCGAAAUGACGCAAGAGAAAUCAGUAUAAUGAUUAUGAUGUUGUGGUAGAUGAGAAUAAGCGCAAUGCCUUUACUAGACAUUUAAUGUUGAGCUUGCACUCUACAUUAAUGCAAGGGAGACAAAAAACAAGACACUUCUCCAAAAACCCAUUGACCUUCCAGUGUCACAGAGAUAAUUACUGUACUUUCGCUAUAACAUAUAUCCCAAGGAUUGAAAAGGUCCUAAGGACAACAUAGGAGCCUUAGUGUACAGCAGCCAGCAGCGCUAUCAUGCUUUGCCCCUGUUUGCACAAAGAUCCCAUUGUCCUAAUUUCACAAAAAGAAAACGCAUUAAAAAUGCAUGGCGAAGCAAUCAGACUCACCUGCAGAGCAAUGAAAGCGGGAAUCACAAAGGAUGCGAAGUCUAACAACCAGGUUGGAAAAAUGCCAUACAUUUAAAGGAAUUGGGCACUUGAGAUCUUUUAUGUAAUAUUAAAUCACCUGUUGCAUAAAUUAAUAAUACGAAUGGCUUAUUCAUACUGGCAACUUUGCUGCAUUAUCUGCACUGUAACAGUAUGUUAGUAUGGACUUAGUGCAGCAUCAGAAAAGGGUUUAUAUAAUUUCCCUCCCUCACCCCAAAAAAAGAGGGUAAAGUACAUCACACUUGCUCCAGCAAAAUAUUUUGGUGCAAUAUCACAAAGCUGAUUAUCAUAAAGAUCUGAUGUGAAUCGAGAUAUUCACAACAGCAGCAAAAAUCUAAUCACAAUUUUUAUGUAUUUUUUUUUUAAGUCUGGGAUACGUUAUGGCCAGCUAUGUUAUUCCUCACAAAUACAUCCAAAAUUAUAUAUAAAUUUACAAUGAGCUCUGCAGAAUAAACCUACAAUAUAUUCUAAAUAAUUCAACAUAAGCUAGCAAUAGUCAGGGUUUUGGUACGAAAGCAAAUAAUAAAAUAAAUAAUGCCUAUUAUUUUUGAAAUUCCACAAUAGGCACUGUGCAAGAUGUCAUCGGAGAAAGAUCCUGUUGGUUCAAGGGUGAACCUUUCUUAAAUUUAUGUUGAGGUAGACCAUAUGCAGGAUCUAAAGCUUGAGGAUCCUGUGGCUAGUUGAGCCUUUCUAGAACUACAAGCAUUCUAAUUUGGUUAUUUUUCAAAACUAAAAAUUUGCCAAAAUGUAGACAAAAGACUAUUCAUCUUAUUCAAGAACGCGUGUUCCUCAUGACCUGACAUAACGUUUCCUCUGGAUUCAGCCUCAUGUAGAAAACAAACUCUGCUUGUUUCCUGCGCUCCUGUGAGGCUGGUUAGACCUUUUGGUGAGCUGAAAACACGAUGACCCCAUUUACAAACUCACAAUUUAGAAAGAAAAAAAAAAAAAUUGGAUAUCAUAUUCACUUGCUGUUAGGCAUCCAUCAAGAUCUCUUUUACUUACCCCAAAGUUGGGGUCUCUGGUAGAGGACUAAAUACACUGCAUUACAAAAAGGGGGUGUAAAAUAAUGGAAAAAAAUAAGAAAGUUAUAUUUUCCAUAUUUAUUUACUUAGAUCAGGGGUAGUUAACUUUUUAAUACCUACCAACAACUUUUGAAGCUUUGUUGAUGGUAACAUUUCCUUACUGCCCACCCGUGCUUGCAGUAACUAAUUUUAUAUUAUAUAUAAUUUUUCAUAUAUAUAUAUGAUGUGUAUGUGAAGGGUGGAGUGUGUGAGGGGGGGGAAGUGUGUGUGUGUAUGUGUGCAGUGUCAAGCAGUGUGUGUGUGAGAGCAGGCAGUGUGUGUGAGGGGUGUAUUGUGUGUGAGGGGGCAGUGUGUUUGUGAAACAAGGCAGUAUGUGUGUAGGUGGGAUGUGUGAGGUAUGUAGUGUGUGUGUUUAUGUGUAAGGGGUGCAUAGGGUCUAUGCUGUGUGAGAUGUGAAAAUCUAUCAAUGUCUUCCCCUCCCUUCUUCUUACCUUUUACCAGGGAGGGGGGACAUAAUGCUGCAAGCCCUGGUGAUCCAGAGGUAGCAUGUUCACAUUAGCCUGCAGCUUCUCCUGUCCUCCUGCGAACACAGCACUGUAUCGGACCGUUGCCAUGGCAACUCUCUGAUCAGUCUGCUCACAAGAGCCUCCCAGGACCUUCCCUCCCUCUGCUGGAACUAAGUGCCAGCAGGCUGGUGAGGGAGAUGCUUGAUCUCCUCACCAGCCCGAGAAGGCUUACAGCAAAGCUAGCUCUGCAUGGGCCGGCAGGGGAGAUGAAAGGAUCUCCCCUGCUGAUCUUGGCCCACGGCCAUCGAGGCCAAUCGGGCGUUUUCUGCAGAACCCACCACUGCCCACCUAAAAUCCCAAACUGCCUACUAGUGGGCAGUAGGGACCAGGUUGACUACGCCUGAUUUAGCUUUUUUUUUUUUUUUUAAUACAUUUUUGAGAUGCAGGUGAGCACAUCAGUGCCUGCCUUGCCACAACAGCAUUUGCAGGCUCAAACGACAUAAUCAAACAGACUCUGUGACAUUUUUCAAGUUAAGUGAGUCAAGAUUGGGUCUCGGGUAUGUAACAAGGUAUAGUAAAAUAUGUGGUGAAACAUUACCUGUGCCGCCCGGUGCAUAUACAAGAUUACGUUUGCAACCCUUCCUGUCCUCCGUGUUAUGAGGCUAGGGCUUAGGACAUACAGCGUAUCACCGGUUUAAUUCAUACUCUAGGAACGUGUGUGUGCAAUGGCGGCUAGAGGCAAUAGUGAGAUGUAACAUGGCAGCAAGGCUCCUUGACCCCGUAGUCUGGGGAGGGAGGGGAGUUGUUUCCUUUCACAGUGUAGGUGUGUGUUACUUGGGACCUCGGCGCUAAGGUGUCGUCUGGGUGUUCUGUAGGUUCCGCCAGGUUGAGGGGUCUAUGAGAUCGGUGUGCCAUGCGGUCUGUGUGUCAAGUGAUAAAUAUAUGUGAGCUGCCGCGGGGAGCAGACUGGGUGGACAACCUAUAACACAACAUAUGGCAUAAAAAAUAACUGGCAUAAAAAUUAUAUAUAAAAGGGAGAACAAUGCAUAACUCAGUGUAACACAAAGCUAGCUGGUGCAUUUUCAAGUUCCUUGUGUCGGACAGCUACUUUUCCACAUUAAGCGUCUGGGAGCUGCAUAGUGCCUCUUUCUUCUGGGGCUGCAUGUCCCGAUGGGGUGAACGUUGGGAUGUUGGCAUACGGGGUCUGUCCCCUGACAGCGCGGAGGAAGCCUUCUUUGUCUGAGCGGGAUUUAAAGCUCAUUAUGACAUCCCUUGUGAAGUCUGGAGCGUUGUUUGGGGGCGUCCUGAUAUACGAAAUAGGCCAUCUAGGGUCAAUCCUUUGGCCUGUUUGGGCGGUAGGGCAGCCAGGAGGAGCCUCUUAAUGAGGUCCCCCUCACCUGUAGGUUUCUCUGUCUCGCCAUAUCUUCGAGCUGCCCCACUCGAGCGUUCAGCGGUGUACUUGGUUACUAGCUCCUGUGUGUGCUUAGCCGUGGCGUCGUGCUAGGCCCUCAGUUCCUCGACCACUUCAACCGUGGCUCGCAUGCAGCCUGUAAGCGUGCUCAGCUCCGUCUUGAGGCCUGCUAAUUCCGCCGUGAAAAGGGCCUUAAGGUCAGUCACCAUGCUUGAUAGGUCAACCUUAGUGGUUAAUGAUGGUUCCGAUUGCCUUGGUGGUGCGGUCUGUUGCUUCCGUUGGGGUAUCUGGGUCGACAUAUCGCUCAGGUAUUCAUCCUCUGAGGCAGAGAGUGACUCCAUCCCCAUGUCUUGGAAGGCGUCCGCCAUUUUGGGACUGCAAGCUUGGGACAAGAGUUGCCCGAUACCGUGGGUAUGUCCCGUGGAUGGCCCUCGAGGUUUCCCCCAUUGCGUACUGGAUCUCCCAAAGGUUUAUUUCCCGGCUUGUGGAGGUAGUUUGACCGAGUUCCGUGGCUGUUUUGCUAUAGUAAUGUCAGAGCUCAGGCAUUCAACAAUUAAAUUCAAAUGUUGUCUAACAGUAGCUCUGCCAACUAAAAGCACUACUCGUAAUUAACCCAGGUUCAUGACGUCUCUACAGAACAUCUCAAAAAACAGUUAUCAAGCUGUAGUUUUUAGUAAAGAGGAACCAGAUAUGUCACAUAACCAAACUCAAGACAAGAAUAAUGAAACAGAAAAAAAAAUAGAUAAGGAAAAGCAAAAUUAACUAACAAUCUGAGAUUUUUAAAGAGAUCUAACGAGGCUUGCAAUACAUUCUUUAUUGACAUAGAAAUAUCAAGUCAAAAAGUAAUGCAGAUUUGCACUGUGAUAAUAUUUAAUGCAUUCUGUAAAGGUGCAGGACGGACAGUUACCAAUUCAAAGGAUUUGACAGACUGAUAGAAUUUGUGAAAGGUCACUUCCAAGGAAUGUUACAGGGAUAAGUAGACAUACUAAUAUUUAAUAUGUAUUUGUGAGGAUAACUGUACUUGGCGGUAACAUCACCAACCUGUUGCUUCUCACAAAUACAUUGCAAGAUUUACCAGUGUAUUCAAAUAUAGUUUUAUGGAUAGACUAGCCUCUUAGCCAGAAACAUCUAGUGGCAAUCAGUAUCUGGAUUAUUCUAUCCAGCAAGUACUCAUACUACUAUUUUUUUAUUUUUAUUUUUUUUUAAUAAGGGGGGCAGCAAGACUCCUCUACGGAUGUUGGUCAACAAUUCUCUGAGGACAAUGGCACACUGCCUCUCAUUAAAAGGGACAUUAAGAACCAUUUGAAUAAUACUCACCACACAUUCCAGGCAGACUCUCCAUUAGCUUCAGCAUCGGCUCAUAUGGGUUUAAUAAUCAAAACAGUUUGAAUAGGGCAAUGUUCUCAGCUUCUAGAGGACAUGCAACAUAUCACUAAAAGGGACACUCCAGCUUUCUGAAAGUGCUUUAUGUGUGAAGACUGUGUCUCCUUUCUUUCAGUAGAAAUUUACCCUUUUAUAAAUUAACCUUGUUACACCCCCCUGGCCGGCAAUCAGGCAAGUUCUGUUACUUCCUGGUUUGGUUAGCUCAGUGGAGUUAAACUCAAGAGGCAGCAAUUGUACAGAACACCUGCCUUGCAAAGACUUCUCACUAAACUGCAUUGGGAAGCCUGUGAUUGGACAGACACAGAAAGCCUGGGCGGGGUUAGAAUGGGAGGAGCUUGCAAAGACUAGAUAACUGCAACUUUAUCAAACUUUUUUGAUAUACCACAAUGGAAAAAAAAUUAUUAAAUGCUUGCAUGUUUUCUACUAAACAGUGAUUAUUUGGCAGUGUAGAGUCCCCCACUGCACAAUGGAAACAAUACCAUUGCUUGAUGCUCACUUUUUCUCAGAAAUCAAUAGGGCCAGACUAGGACACUGGUAGCCACUUGUGCUGGUGCAAUAGGUCUACAACAUAAUGGAACAUUAUCAGUAAGUCAGGUGAGAUUCCGAGGCAGGUAUACCAUCACUACUCUAGGUGCCACCUUUUAGGAAAAAGACCUGGCAUGAGUCAAUUGACUGUGUUGUAGGAGUUAAAAUAAGGCUGGGUCGUUGUCAGUGGUUAAUUUUAAAAAGCUGUCAAUAGACGGAGCUCAAUACUAUAUAUAUAUAUUUUACACAGAUUUCAGCUAAUUAUUUGCCAAUCACUACCUAGUUCCCUGUCCCUCCCGCUCACCUGCAUGUUUCUUAACGUGUAAAGCACAAUCGGUACACAAUACAAACACUGGCUGGGAUGGUUGGUAUUGUCUCGGAGAUGAUCUGCUUUUAGAAAAUAAAAUUAAUGGCACAGAAACAUGGAAUUCGUGUUGCAGUGAAAACGACUUGGCUGAUGAGCCUAUUGCCGACUUGCUGAUAAGACUUGCCUGAUGUAAGGAACAUGAUGUGCAAGCGGUGUGGCUUGAAGGACUGGUAAACAGCCGCGUUUCUGACUGAUUGAAUGGGUCAUUUAAUGAACAAAAAAAUAUAUAUAUUAUGAGAUCUGUACAGCCAGUGGUAUCUAAUGCUCCACUUUGGCAAUGCAAACGCACAAAAGUAAUUAUUGCCGAUCACAAAAGAUAUGUGACAGAUUGUGAACCUUAAUUAGUUUCUGUUCACUAGUCAAUACUGCUGGUGUAUACUAUUACACUGUCAGUUUGACAGCGUUGAAGUGUCAAAAUAAAUUGUGUCACUGUGAAUCCCCUGUGUUAAAUUAUUUUAUUUAUAAAUCAAUCCAUUUCAAAUAUACAGCAGCAGGGAGGCUGCAAAAGGUGUGACACUAAUGGCUGAUUGCCCUUUACCCCAGCUCUGUGAUACACUCAUACACACUGCACAUUACUGUGAGUUUUAUUGUUGUGGAGCUCUGUGAUACGGUCAUACACACUGGACUGCAAGUCACAAGCCACUUUUGGUAGGAAGCAGUGGUGGCUGCUGUUCUUUACAAAUCAUUUGUAUAUCAAGGCCAAUGGAGGAUAUCUGAAGAUAUCAGGUUUGGAACAAACACAAAAUGUAAAUAGAAUGGGUGACAAGGCUUGUAAUAAAGAAACAGACACAUGGUCUAUAGACACUAUUAAACUAUAAAUGCAACGCUAACCGACUGCUUUUGCUUCUUAAGUUAGUACUUUAAUUAUCACUUACUACUAAACCUACCAUUACUAUUUUGGCCAAAAUUAAAAUAUACAAAAACAUUUUUAUUUUAUUUUUUAAUCUUGUUUAAGUUUUACCAAUAAUUAAUCUAGUAAUUAAUUAUAGCAUAUUAAUAAGCCAUUAAAUUAUUGAAAGAAUACCAUUACGAGUCUCUAGUCAUAUAACAAAUUAUAGUUUUCUAUUUUUAUUUUACAUUUUUUUGUUUACAUUUCUAUAGGAGACAGGCUGAUGGUGUGUUAGCAGUUAUUGGCUACAAGACUGGACAUUUUUCAGCUGGGAUUUUACUGGCGUUACACAGUACAGUCUGAAGGUAAGGGAGUUUAGUAUAUUGCCAUAUGGUAGCCAAAAACGUAAAGGUGCAGUUCCAUCUAAGCAAAAAGAGAUUCAAUGUUCUCACAAGUUAUGCCAAGCAAAUAUGUUCUCCGUUGUUUAUUAACUAAAAUAAUGCUAGUAGAGAUUAAUUUGCUAAUUCAUCCACACCGUUCCCAUAGCUUUUGCUACGUGAUUAUAGUCCACAAAUAAUAUGUCCGCCAGUAUGGGGUGAAUUUUUUAAUUUUUAUUUCUGUAUAAGCUGAAAGCUGCUCUGUAACAUCACAGGUUUUGCAUUUAAAUCAAUUAUUUUAUGUUCCUCUAUUUCUGUUUGGUUGUAUAUACAUAUAAAUAUUUAUUUUUUAAAAAGUCACCUUUUUAGUUAUAUAUAAGAUGGCAAAUGGACUUCUUUUUCUCAUGGGGAGCGGGAUCUUUCGCAAUGGCUUAACCAAAGUUCCAUGUCGACUGCUAAACGUAUUUACCCACAAUCCAUCAGUCAAAAGAAUCUCACAAAAAGCAAACUGCAUGGACAGAGGAGAACAAAACGGAAUCCCCCAAGUAAUGGGAUUCUACUCAAGGAAGGAAAAAAAAAAAAAAUAGCAGUAAACGUGUCAAUUCAAAGGGGGGUAGUUGCAUCAGUGAAUUAAAGGACCACUAUAGUGCCAGGAAAACAUACUCGUUUUCCUGGCACUAUAGUGCCCUGAGGGUGCCCCCACCCUCAGGGACCCCCUCCCGCCCGGCUCUGGAAGGGGGAAAGGGGGUAAAACUUACCUUUUUCCAGCGCUGGGCGGAGAGCUCUCCUCCUCCUCUCCGCCUCCGUUACGCCCCGCCGGCUGAAUGCGCACGCGCGGCAAGAGCUGCGCGCGCAUUCAGCCGGUCUCAUAGGAAAGCAUUUACAAUGCUUUCCUAUGGACGCUGGCGUGCUCUCACUGUGAUUUUCACAGUGAGAAGCACGCAAGCGCCUCUAGUGGCUGCCAAUGAGACAGCCACUAGAGGAUUAGGGGGAAGGCUUAACCCAUUCAUAAUUAUAGCAGUUUCUCUGAAACUGCUAUAAUUAUGAAAAAAUGGGUUAACCCUAGAAGGACCUGGCACCCAGACCACUUCAUUAAGCUGAAGUGGUCUGGGUGCCUAGAGUGGUCCUUUAAGUACAUUCCUUAAUGCCGGCCCUGUUUUUAAUGUUCCCCCUUUUGGCUUUCCUUUCCUUUGCUCAUGCCCUCUGUAUCUUGAUCAUUCCCUCCCUUGCCACUUGCAUUUGUUUAUAUUUAUUAUUUGUUCUUCCUUGGGACACAUUUCAAUAUCUGGGAGCAGUAAUUUUGUUCUGCUCUGCCCAGGAUGUCUGCGGUUUGCCUUCUGUGGGAUUGAAAUUUCUCACAGGGCCACUUAUAGGCGACCAGAACACUUUAUGUCAAUGUUGUGGUCUGGGUGCAGUGUUCCUGCCGUUUUGGUCCUGCAGUGUAAAACAAUGCCAUUUUGUAGAUGUGUUAAUGUUUAUAUUGAAGCACUAAACAUACCUGUAUUCCUGACCGCCCCAUGAUCCUGGGAACCAGGUAGAUUACAUAUGUUGUAGAACUACAACUCCCAUGAUGCUUUGCAUACCUCUAGAAUGCCAAAGCAUCGUGGAAACUGUAGUUUUAAAAUAUCAGGGGGUCCACCUUUUCGGUAUCGCUGCCCUAAAAGGUGAUCCCACGGACAUGACAGGGCCAAAAAACUUUUUUUUUUUUUUUUUUUUUAACCCUCAUCCAUCCAUUUUUUAUUUUAAAAGGAGGGCCCUGACUCUAAAUAUGUAUUCCUAACAGUACAGUAUUCCUUUAUUAUCGAUACUGGGUAAAUUUUACAGGCAAUUAAAAGAACAUCUUGCUUUAAAAGGGACCAGUUUAUGGAGCAGUACUUAAAGGAUCACUAUAGGGUCAGGAACACAUAUGUAUUCCUGACCCUAUAGUGUUAAAACCCACCAUUUAAGUGGCUUCCGCCCCCUUAGCCCUUUUUGCCAAAAAUGGCCCCGCCCCUGAUCUACCUACUUGUGACUUCCCUAUGGGAAAGUAUUGGAUUGGCUAAAAUCGGCAAGAGGCGGGAUGGGGGCAGGGCCAAACACCGGUUUGGAUAAUCAGCACCUCCUCAUAGAGAUGCCUUGAAUCAAUGCAUCUCAUCUCCAUCCACAGCGUGGCCAUCUGAGGAGUGCCCACUCUAGGUGUUCCUAGGGGGAAAUUUAAACCCUGCCUUUUCUCUGAAAAGGCAGUGUUUGCAUGAAAAUGCCUCAAUUGAAUGCUUAUACUCACCAGGACAAAUACAAUAAGCUGUAGUUGUUCUGGUGACUAUAGUGUCCCUUUAAAAACAGAUCUGUCAACAAAAAUAAACUUCAUCUAGUCUGCUUCUAUACUGCUCCUGAUUAGACUUUUUAUCCUGAGUGUUUUAUUUUUUUUGUAAUACAUAAACAAACAUAGGGACUUCUCUUUCUUAUUUAUAGUAGUUAAGUUAACAAAAACCCUAACAAUAGGCGAAGCUUAUAGAGACACAUUAAGCACCAAAACAAACUUUAGAUUAUUGAAGUUUGGUGUAUAGAUCGUGUGAAUGCAGUCUCACUGCUCGGUUAUCUGCCAUUUAGGAGCAGGUGACAUCAGUGUAUUUACUUUAGAAAUUAUCUCCUGCAAUAUUAAUUGAAUUAUAUUCAUACACAGGAAGCUACUACGGGCUCUAGCAAACAAUUAAGAGAGCAGAAGAGAAGACACUUAAAAUUAAAUAGACUCUGCAAUAUAGGAAACAUGUCUAUGUCAGAUGCAAAGGAGGUGUGACUAAGGCUGCAUAAAUAAAGUGAUUUAACUCCUAAAUGGCAGAGAAUUGAGCACUGCGACUACAUGGUUCAUGAUCUAUACACCACAACUACUUCAUUAAGCUAAAGUUUUUUUGGUGCCUAUUGGGUCCCUUUAAGCUCGGUCUAUUAAGUUUUGUCAUACAUAUGGAAAAGUAGCUCCUUUUAUAAAAAGUCAAGCACGGAGGUGAAAAAUAAAAAAAUAGUCAGACACAGGGAGCUAUGUAAUAAAAUAUUAAAGUUUAUGGUAACAGAUCAGUGUUAAGUAUACGUGAAUUACCGUAGUCACCUAAAUUACUUUAGCUAAAUAAAGCAGUUUUAGUGUAUAGAUCAUUCACCUGCAAUUUCACUAAUCAAUUCACUGUCAUUUAGGAGUUAAAUCACUUUGUUUCUGUUUAUGCAGCCCUAGCCACACCUCCCCUGGGUACGAUUGACAGAGCCUGCAUGAAAAAAACAACUGGUUUCACUUUCAAACAGAUGUAAUUUACCUUAAAUAAUUGUAUCUCAAUCUCUAAAUUGAACUUUAAUCACAUACAGGAGGCUCUUGCAGGGUCUAGCAAGCUAUUAACAUAGCAGGGGAUAAGAAAAUCUUAAUUAAACAGAACUUGCAAUAAAGAAAGCCUAAAUAGGGUUCUCUUUACAGGAAGUGUUUAUGGAAGGCUGUGCAAGUCACAUGCAGGGAGGUGUGACUAGGGUUCAUAAACAAAGGGAUUUAACUCCUAAAUGGCAGAGGAUUGAGCAGUGAGGCUGCAGGGGCAUGUUCUAUACACCACCACUGCUUCAUUAAGCUAAAGUUGUUCAGGUGACUAUAGUGUCCCUUUAAGUGCUGGGUUAGACAUUAAAAAACUAUGGCUAUUGCUCCAUAACCAGAUACAGAGAACUAGGACCACUGGAUUAAUGGGGCAUAGCGCUCUUCGUUGUUUUGGGGAGAGUAGUAAACAUUUCUAGAUGCCUUUUCACUUUCUUAGCUGGUUUUGGCAACUUUUACUUUAACUCUUGACCUUCAGUCCACUUCAUACAAGCCUUGAAGUUGACCGUUGUCCUCUUCAAACCACUGGCCCACCAGGGUCUCUCUGUAUUUUAACUAAAAGAAUAAUUAAAAUUAAUCUGCUUCAUACAUCUAACCUCCCUCUGUAUUAAAAAACCUCUUACCUAGGAUUACUCUCUCUCAAUGCAGGCUGCAGGAGAACUGAAGACCACAAAAUGCUCCUGACCAUGGCUGGUGAGAUUCUCAGUACCACAUUCUCCACUCCUGGGAGCAGCCACUCUGUCACCUCCUUGACCUUGGAACAAAAGGCUGCCUUUGUCCUGGUGUUUUUCCUCUUUAUCUUUCUCGGGCUUCUUAUUAUACGUUGUUUUCGGAUACUACUGGACCCAUACCGCAGUAUGCCCUCGUCUACAUGGACAGAUUACAUGGAGAAGGAUACGUUUGACUAUCGUUGGGCCUGACAGCAGACACGAACUAUGGUGACGCAUUUUGCGAUUACUUGAGGGAGUUUCACACUUUCACCGGUGGCCUUCAGGAAAUCAGCUUUCGAGUUUCCUUAUAUAGUGUUUUGGUUUUUUUAUUUUCCUUUUUCUAAUGUUUAAAGCCUCUCUAUGUUUAUGUGGGUUGUUUACAUUGGUUGCAAGUGUUUGUAACCCCUGCUAAGCAGUGUCCUGUUUUUAGGACAAAUUACUUUACACAAACAAGAUCUACCAAUACAAAACAAAGCCUCAAGUUAACACAUAGACCUAAGUUCACAGAGUUUCCAGCCGUGUUGAUAGUGGACACCCGUAACUUUGUUCUACUCUAUGCUUAUUGGGUGAAUAGAGUAACAUUUUGGUGCAUCUUGUGACAUGGUGGAAAAGGGAUGCAUUCUCAUAAUACGAACAGAAAUGUCAACCGUCCCACAGGGAAGACUUGGGUAGUUUUUGGAACUCCUAAAAUACCUCAGAUAAGAUUUGUUGGUUCCAAGUAGGAUAUAAAACCAUUAUUAGAAUAAUGGUAUGUGCUCAUUAAGAGAUAAACAUGUUGCUGGUUUUCACACUGUAGAGAAUAGUUUUGGAGAUGCAACGUAUUACCGAAAAUCUACGACUGACUGGUACCUGUCUCACUACAGGUGAUAGGACAGGUGAUAAAUAGUAACUAUUGUUAUUACUAUAUGUAUUUAUGGAUGAUUUAAGUCUACACUGACAAAAAAAACAAAAAAACACAGACCAUAGGUAUGAUGGCUACGACCGGGGCGAACGUUUCAGUUCAGUUCAGUUUCAAACUCGUUUUGGAGCCAGUAUAAGAAAUUAAGUGCCAGCUUGAAUCACACAGCGAACGUUAGAUGAGCAGAGGACUUUAGGGUUCCUCGUAAAUGGUUACAAACUUGCCUCUGAAUGGUUGUAAACAUUAUUUGAAGUAAUUGAGAUUUUCAGCAUGGUAGGUCUUCCAGUAACUUCGAAAAAAAAAUUUGAGUACCUGCUUAGUCUUUCUACUCAAACUGCCUUAGACUUUGUGAUUAACUCGGCUGUUGGAACGUGGGGUUAAUUAUUGCCCCAGCACAAGGACAAAUUCUAGAUAUUCCAGGUGCAGUGUCCAGACGUCUACAACCUUCAUUAGGUAGUGUUGUCUAAAGCACGAGCAGAAUGGUUGGAUGCUAUUCAGUUCUUGAAAGUAUAUAAGUACUAUAGGAUGUUUUUUUAAUGCAGGUUGAGUCAUAAAAACCAUCAAGAGUUAAUGUCUGGCCUUCACGAAAUGAGUCUGAUGCACAGGCUAUUACAGGACUACAUUUUACUCCUACAUCAAAAACAGGACGACUAGCACAUAGAGGCCUUGUAAUAACAUGUAUGUAGAGACAAAGCAUCAGUCCUAAUUGCAUUUCAAAUGAGAAAGGGAUAAAGGCUGUGUGAGACACAGUAAAUAAGAAGAACAUUGGCAAACAAUCCAUAGCACUUUUUGGGGGGGGGGGUUUAAAUUGCUUGCUGGAAGCAAUGGGAAUGCAGUUCGACAGGUGGCAAGAUGUGUUUGAGCAACCACCUUGUUUUAAAAUACAUAUUGGCAUAUAUUCGGUCUCGAAACAGAAGGGUGACCAGGGACUAUCAGUUACACAAACACGCUUUACUGAGUUGGUAUCAGGCGAUGGCAUACCUGGAGAAUAGAAAUUAACCUAGUGCGGUCUCCAUGGAAACUGAACAUCGCUCGCUUUCAGAAGUUUGCUCUAUCGUACCCAAACACAUGAAACAUUAAAGGAUUGUAGCGGAGUGUAAAAAUCUCCCAAGACAUACAAGCAAAUUCAAUUGGGGGUUUUUUUUAUGGGUAGGUGGGGAGGACAAAACCACUCUACAAGAAGUAAAACAAACUACCUGCUUAAUUGCUGCUUAAUUUUGUGCACAAAAAAAGUGACUUUUUUUAUGGUUCUCUCUCCUCGAACAACCUUUUGCUAUAGCCACCGCAGGCAAGAGAUGAAUGCGCCUCAUAUUUCACAGCAAUGGCAUAGGUUGGAUAAACGUGCCAAAAUGUCCCUAGGCACAAAUUCUGCCGAUGCCUACAAACCGAGAGAAGAUAUAGAUGAAAAUAUAUAUAUAUA